GUGUGCACUCAUCGGGGAAGGGUGAGAACCUUCGACUAAGGUUCGAUUCGAGCGAAAGCGAGAGAACGUUGCCACAGGCAACGGCCCGAAGGGUGAGGAGCGAAGCGACGAAUAAUCCUUCCCCCACCACCA
rnacentral:sRNA from 1 species